ACAUUUCAGAGGGUUUGCCUGGAUGUGUACAUACAGGUGUUCAUGCAUGGACAGCAGAAAUACACAUGGCAAGCAAAGCUUCCAUAUGCGCUGGUUUGCAAUGUGUCUGAGCUGUUUUUCACCACCUCUCCAGGUGAAUGCUGUGGUCUGUUGCAAACAAAUCAUGCUGCAGUAGACCGGUGUUAAAAGGCUGAGAAAUUGAUAUUUUGUCAGGAAAAACAAUCUGUGAGCAAACAGCAUUCCAGGAAUGGAUUUACCACGUCCCUUUAAGAGCCUUCCCCAGCAUCCCUCACCUGUAGCUGCUGGUUUGGAUCUUGGUGGUCAGCAAAUCACUGGGGAUGUGCUGCAGCUGUGAGGAGGUGGGCAGGGCAGCAGGGUGCUGAGAGCAAUCUAGAGAGAUCUGCUUUCACCUGUAGCUCUCGUUGUUUGCCAGGGGAGCGGAGCAAGGAGGAGGAAGGCUGCAGGUGUCCUGCACAGCUGCAGCACAGCCAGUCCCUGGGAGCGACGGGCACACAGGGAUGUGCAGUUUCCUUGGAGAAGGCUGGAGCACCACAGGAGCUGCUGUGGCAGAUAACAAACAGACCCUUGUCUGGGAUGCGUUAACCAGCAACUUGUGAGAGCAUUGCUGCUCAGGUAAGCAGUCUGUGUGAGGAGGGACAUGCUGGGGACCAAGCUAAGGGCUGAGCUUAGCUGAAGAGUGAUGUAAUGUUGUGAAUAAUGAAAGAUGCUGAUCGUGGUGCUUUGAAGCAUUGGACACGUGAGAACUGGUUGUGAUUAUCUGCCCCCAGCAUGGCUGACAGCUGUGUUCAGCCAUUGGAAGGUGCCACGCACAUUAGCAGCCUUCAAGUACACAAAGAACCGGAGGCAUUGUGGGGGUGCUGGAUGGGUUCCCAUCUCAUUUUAUGGAGAAAGGCUGUAUUGGGACUACAGGAUGUGUGUCCCGCUGUGGUGUUGUCAGCAGAUGAACAGAGGGUCACUGUCUUAAGAUGGACAGACAGAGAUGGGGACAAGGG